UGACUGCUAAUUAGACUCCUCUGGGAAGGUAGAGGGGGGCAACACAUAAUGCCUUCGCUGUGGGAGCUUCAUCAAGGGGAUGAUUCUUGGACGGACAUUUUUUCCUCCCUCUUUCCACAGGGGCAUGCUAGCCCUGUCAUUCUAGGAGUUUAUUAUCCUUCAGACACAGCUACUUAUGUUUUUAAUUCCCUCACAGGAUGAAGACAUGAAGAGAAAGUUUCAAGAUCUUCUGUCUGAGGAAAAUGAAUCCACAGCUCUACCCCAGGUUCUAGCCCAGCCUUCUACUAGUCGAAAGCGGCCCCGUGAAGGGGAAGCCGAGGGUGCCGAGACCACAAAGCGCCCGGCUGUGUGUGCUGCUGUGUUGUGAACUCCGUGGUUUGAACACGAAAGAAAUGUACCUUCUUUCACUCUGUCAUCUUUCUUUUCUUUGAGUCUGUUUUUUUAUAGUUUGUAUUUUAAUUAUGGGAAUAAUUGCUUUUUCACAGUCACUGAUGUACAAUUAAAAACCUGAUGGA
rnacentral:sRNA from 1 species